CCUACGGGUGGCAGCAGUGAGGAAUAUUGGUCAAUGGGCGAGAGCCUGAACCAGCCAAGUAGCGUGAAGGAUGACUGCCCUAUGGGUUGUAAACUUCUUUUAUAAGGGAAUAAAACGAGGCAAGCAUACCUUUUUGUAUGUACUAUAUGAAUAAGGAUCGGCUAACUCCGUGCCAGCAGCCGCGGUAAUACGGAGGAUACGAGCGUUAUCCGGAUUUAUUGGGUUUAAAGGGAGCGUAGAUGGGUUGUUAAGUCAGUUGUGAAAGUUUGCGGCUCAACCGUAAAAUUGCAAUUGAUACUGGCAGCCGUGAGUACAGUAGAGGUAGGCGGAAUUCGUUGUGUAGCGGUGAAAUGCUUAGAUAUCACGAAGAACUCCGAUUGCGAAGGCAGCCCACUAGACUGCCACGGACACUGAUGCUCGAAAGUGUGGGUAUCAAACAGGAUUAGAUACCCCAGUAGUC
rnacentral:rRNA from 1 species